ACUCCUACGGGAGGCAGCAGUGAGGAAUUUUGCGCAAUGGGCGAAAGCCUGACGCAGCGACGCCGCGUGGAGGAUGAAGUCUUUCGAGAUGUAAACUUCUGUCAGUAGGGAUGAUAAUGACAGUACCUACAGAGGAAGCACCGGCUAACUCCGUGCCAGCAGCCGCGGUAAUACGGAGGGUGCAAGCGUUGUUCGGAAUUACUGGGCGUAAAGCGUACGUAGGCGGCGAGUUAAGUCGAAUGUUAAAGCCCGGGGCUCAACCCCGUGGAUGCCUUCGAUACUGGCUUGCUAGAGGGUGAUAGAGGAAAGUGGAAUUCCGAGUGUAGCGGUGAAAUGCGUAGAUAUUCGGAGGAACAUCAGUAGCGAAGGCGACUUUCUGGGUCACACCUGACGCUGAGGUACGAAAGCGUGGGUAGCAAACAGGAUUAGAUACCCUGGUAGCGACUGA
rnacentral:rRNA from 1 species